UCUUUGGUUGGUUGUCUGAGGAUGAUAUAGAACCUAUAGCCACAGAGAAAGAGGUGGACAAAUACACAAGCCAAGUCGCUCGUGAAGAAGAUGAUCAACAACUGCAGCAGCUGUUUUCUGGAAUCCGGGGAGUUCAUGGAAAUCUUUUGGUGGAGAGGGUGGAGACCUCGACUGGCUAUCGUAGCCUGCAGGGAAUCAGCCAUCAGACAUUCUGUCGCAUGUCCCAGACCCGGUGAAAUGUAACUGAAUUGUCUCGGCCAGCCCUAAGGGUCCCAUCUGCAUCUCAUCAUUGCUGAGGAGUGUGCUCCCAUCACCCAAUCAAGCAUCCAGCCAGAGCAGGUCAUGAUAUUUUUUAACCAUAUUAACAUGCCAUUGUUGUGUAUUAUGCCUGAUGUCAAGACUCUCGUCUCUGCGAGCCUACCACACAGAUUUACUACUUGUGUCAUUUUUAGGGCAUACCUAACAACCUGUGUUUUUCUCUCCCCCCCCCCAUCUGUCCCUCUGAGUUACAUGUUGGUCCUGGGAUUGAGAUGCUGGCCUCUUCUGCCCCUUGGACCUGCUUGAUCCAUCCUGGUGCCCUGUGUCUGGUCGGAGUUUUAUUGCAUCGCUCCUGUGAAGGACGGCCCUAUGAGGACAGUUGAGGGUUAUACCUGGAGGAUGCUCUGGACUCUUACAGUAAUGCUUUUAUAGCUGAGGACUACAGUUGACUUGCUAACUUUAGGAUUGCAGUUGUCAUGAACAAUUUUGCACUCAAGUUUCCAUCAAUGAAGAGUUAUAACAUCAACGAAACUGUCCUCAUGUUAAAACUGUUAAUAUUAUAGUCAUGCUGUUUGUUGUUGCCCAAAUGAGGAUGGGUUCCCUUUUGAGUCUGGUUCCUCUCGAGGUUUCUUCCUCAUGUCGUCUGAGGGAGUUUUUCCUUGCCACCGUCGCCACAGGCUUGCUCAUUGGGGAUAGAUUAGGGACAAAAUUAGCUCAUGUUUUAAGUCAUUCAAAUUCUGUAAAGCUGCUUUGCGACAAUGUUUAUUGUUAAAAGCACUAUACAAAUAAACUUGACUUAACUUGAAA